ensembl:lncRNA novel transcript
CUUUCUUAAAAAGCAAUCUGAGUGGCCUGACAGGCUUUCUUAGUUGAGCUAUCUUCCUGAGGUUGUUUGGAGCCGCUGCGUCAUGGAUAAAUAACUCCCUAAAGCCAGUCCCAACAAGCUUGCACUGAACAUCAAGAAGCCUGACAAGUCCUUCAAAUGCAAGAAGCCCACCCAAAAUGUGCUGGUCUUUUUAAUCAACAGACAACUGGGCAGGCACAGAAGCGACAUCAACCUGUCAAGGUGGAUAUGGAUGCUGUCAUAAAGCAACUCCAGGGUGAACAUGGCCUUGGACAAAGAGUCAUGUGGCUUAUGUGCUGAGGCCUGCCCAGAAUUCUGAGAUAUUAAUUAUAAUUAGAACAAUAAACUCCUCCCAUGUUUGAGCUAUUAAAACAGUCUGUCAUUUCA